UACGUAGGGGGCAAGCGUUGUCCGGAUUUACUGGGCGUAAAGAGCACGUAGGCGGAAGCUUAAGUGUGGCCUGAAAGCCCCCGGCUCAACCGGGGAAGGUGGCUGCAAACUGGGCUUCUUGAGGGGGAUAGGGGAAAGUGGAAUUCCGGGUGUAGCGGUGAAAUGCGUAGAGAUCCGGAGGAACACCAGUGGCGAAGGCGGCUUUCUGGGUCCGCCCUGACGCUGAGGCGCGAAAGCGUGGGGAGCGAACGGG
rnacentral:rRNA from 1 species